UUGACGAGACGAAUCUUUUGAGCCUAGUUAGUCCAUGAUUGGACAAUAUUUGUCAAAUACAAACAAAAGUGCUAUAGUGUCGAUUUCCCAAAAUAUUUUAGAACUAAACAAGGCCGAAGCCAUAUAUAACGUUGAUUGAUGUUUCCGUUUGAAUCUGGAUUGCUAUACCGUUUGUGUAUAGGCAAUGCUAAUGCACACAAUGCCUGUAUCUGUUUCAUUGUGUGGAAGAAGCCUGCAUGGCAAUCUGGUUUUCAUUUCAUCAAAUUUUUGGAUCAUCCCGACGACCCAAAAUAGUAUGAACCUACAUCACUAGUGACAUUAUUUCAGCUUUCUUUUCAUUUCUUUCAGCCGCGCAAUCUGUUCGAAAUGGACUAAGACUGAAAGUAACCUCGUCUAUAUAUAAAGUAAAGCCAUAAACAUAAAUGUAGUUCUGACGACAUGCAUGUUCAGGAUGAAUCACCAAUAAUAUAUAAUGUCUUCUUGCAUGCAUGUUUUGUAAUUUCUAGACAUUUUCAGAUGUUACUAGAGCAACUCGAACAACUUAGCUAUUCUGGUUGGAGGCUCUAACAGAUAUACUAUCAUCCCUUGAUUUUAUUGGUCAGGUGCUCGCUAUUUGACUUUGUAAAAUAGCAAGGCUAUUGUGGACCAUUUCUUUUUUGAGAAGUUUUCUAUUUUAUAAAAUGACUAAACAGUAAAAUUUGUCUACUCAUUUUAGACAAGCUGCUGAAGUUACUCUAAAGAAUGUUUGGAUCAUGUCACAUCGAAUAUUUGGAUAUCAAUUAGGAGGGCUAAACAUGAGGUAAUUAUAAAACUAAUUGUAUAAACCCUGAAUAAAUCAGGAGAUGAAUUUAUAGGCCUAAUUAAUCCAUAAUUAGUAUAUAUUUAUUCUAACAUCACAUUUGCUAAUCAUAGACUAAUUAAGCUUAAUAGAUUUGUCUCAUCAAUUAUUCUUUAUUUAUGUAAUUAAUUUUAUAAUUUUAAUGUUCCUAAUUAAUAUCCUAAUAUUUGAUGUGACGAAUUACAAUACUUAUUAUAUAAAUGAAGACUAAUUUGAAUGUUUGAUAAAUAAAUGCAGCGAAAAAAAACUACAAGCAAGUUGUGAUCACGCACCGCCCGCCGUCCACGUAUUUAGGGUCAUUGAUGAGAUGGUCAACCAAGUGAAAGACAUUAUGUCUAUAGUGGUCCAAGCUGAAGUCGUCUUCAUCAUCGUCCAUGCUGAAGUCGUCUUCAUCAUCGUCCAUUUUCGUCUAACUUGUCCCGUCGUCCGUUCGGACGUCGUUGUCUAU
rnacentral:lncRNA from 1 species